GAGUCAUUCUGAUAGAUCUGAGCACAAGAGAGCUUCAGAGGCUUUAUCUGGUGAUAAUGAAAUGAUUGAAAAGUGAAGAACUGAUGAAAUAUUGUGAACUAUAACUUCUGUGUAGUUAUCAUGGCUAUCAGGAAACAAAAACCUAAGGAGAGGGAAGGGAUUAGAAGUUGAUGACUGAGGACAACUGAGGACUGUAAAGACCCUUGGCUUUUCUCAUAAUCUUCUUAAGAGAAGUGCAAACAUUUUGAAUUCCUCUACACUGAUUGAAACAGAA
rnacentral:lncRNA from 1 species